UACGGAGGGUGCAAGCGUUAUCCGGAAUCACUGGGUUUAAAGGGUGCGUAGGCGGUGGCGUAAGUCAGUUGUGAAAUUCCCCGGCUUAACCGGCGGGACUGCGAUUGAUACUGCGUCACUUGAAUCAGGAUGAGGUAGGCGGAAUGUGACAUGUAGCGGUGAAAUGCUUAGAUAUGUCAUAGAACACCGAUUGCGAAGGCAGCUUGCUGGACCUGUAUUGACGCUGAGGCACGAAAGCGUGGGGAGCAAA
rnacentral:rRNA from 1 species